rnacentral:rRNA from 1 species
AGUGAACGCUGGCGGUAGGCCUAACACAUGCAAGUCGAACGGCAGCACAGUAAGAGCUUGCUCUUACGGGUGGCGAGUGGCGGACGGGUGAGGAAUACAUCGGAAUCUACUUUUUCGUGGGGGAUAACGUAGGGAAACUUACGCUAAUACCGCAUACGAACUACGGGUGAAAGCAGGGGAUCUUAGGACCUUGCGCGAUUGAAUGAGCCGAUGUCGGAUUAGCGAGUUGGCGGGGUAAAGGCCCACCAAGGCGACGAUCCGUAGCUGGUCUGAGAGGAUGAUCCGCCACACUUGAACUGAGACACGGUCCCGACUCCUACGGGAGGCAGCCGUGGGGAAUAUUGGACAAUGGGCGCAAGCCUGAUCCAGCCAUACCGCGUGGGUGAAGAAGGCCUUCGGGUUUUAAAGCCCUUUUGUUUGGAAAGAAAAGCAGCAGGUUAAUACCCCGCUGUUCUGACGGUACCCAAAGAAUAAGCACCGGCUAACUUCGUG